UCGAGUUAAGCUCGUAAAUGGUGAUAAUAUAAUCUCGUUAUAUGUAAACAUACUGUGACGAACAUGUAUGCUAGAAUAAACUAGAAUCAACAACGAAAUCGAUAACCAGAUUUAUCCAGACAUCGAUAUUCGUCGUUGCCAGAAUGUUCGAGUGACGAUAACUUGCUAACAAUCGGGUAUAUAAGGGCUGCCGGACUGGCAGCAAGACACAGUUCUAAUUAGAGAGUUGCCGAGUAAAGUGCAAGAUAUUAGAAGUAAGAAGUUGUAAACUUGUACAACGAGUAAUAAAGUGUUAAGUUUGUUAAAUUAGAAAUAAAGAUAAGUGUAUAACCAUUAAACAGUGACUUUUAUUUGACAAUCCAGUGAUCGAACUCAAGGCUGUUCACGAUAAGGUGGUUAUCGGGUUAUGUGGUUAUGUGAUUAAGUAAACAACAACAAAAUGCGGUAUGACAAAAUAACCAACUUUGACCAACCUAGGCCCUUGAUUACAGAUUAUGCGGUUGUUUGCUCAUUUCCAGUGUUAGAAAGUCGUUGGAAUUUUACUAAAUGGCAGCACAAAAAAUAAAUAAAACUAAGCGAAUGUCAUUUCCACUUUGAUUUUCUUAUUAGAAAAUCUGCUAUUAACAGCUGUUUUUUGUUUACAAUCGGCAAAUUAAAACCGAAAUAAAAAGCUUCGAAAAGCAUCACAAAGCAUCAAAAAUCAUCAAAGUAAGUAAGAAUCAUAAAAUACAAAAUAAAUAUACAUUUUUUGUCAUUUAUUUAUACUCCAAUUUUAGUGUAUACAGAAAAACGAAAGCGCCGGCGAGAAAAGGAGGUGAAAAAAUGGACGGAAGCCGAAAUCAAAACAGUGCUGUGCUAUAUGCAGGAACACCGAAACAUCGAGGCGAGUUUUGACACAUUAGUUAUUUAUUUUGAUUUACUUACAUCUCCUUUAAUUUCAGAAACCAACAGCGAAAAUCUAUUAUAGCAAAUUGCUUGCAGUAAAAAAAAUUGAAUUGUAGUUUAUUCAAAAUUGCCGAAAAAACUCUUUUGGUGAUAUAGGUAAAUGUACCUCCAUCUCCCACACCUAAAGUUGUAGCGAUUUUACGUACAGAAGCACUUUCACCCGAUGAACCGGAGCAAUACGAUUGCGAUUUGCAAAUCUACAGGAGAUGAGCGAAUUGGCAUUUUCUGACGCGCAGCAGUUGUAAAAAUCUUCCAUCGUCAAAGCAACACAGAACAUUUUCUCGCCAAUGAAUAGAUUUCGGAACAUGUAGUUCAUCCCCCCGUCUACUACAGUUGAUUAAAGUUAUAUCAUCUAGCAGUUCAUCUAAUACUUCAUCCAUUGCAUUGUGACACUGUUCAGGGCGCAAGAUGUCUGUAAAUUUUAUACAAAGCAUUUUUUUAACCCUUAAAAUUCGGAUUAUAUAAUAAUAUACCUUCAAUAAAGACCAUUUCCUGAAU